rnacentral:rRNA from 1 species
CCUACGGGAGGCAGCAGUGGGGAAUAUUGGACAAUGGGGGCAACCCUGAUCCAGCCAUGCCGCGUGUGUGAAGAAGGCCCUCGGGUUGUAAAGCACUUUCAGUGAGGAAGAACGCCUGGUGGUUAAUACCCAUCAGGAAAGACAUCACUCACAGAAGAAGCACCGGCUAACUCCGUGCCAGCAGCCGCGGUAAUACGGAGGGUGCGAGCGUUAAUCGGAAUUACUGGGCGUAAAGCGCGCGUAGGUGGCUUGAUAAGCCGGUUGUGAAAGCCCCGGGCUCAACCUGGGAACGGCAUCCGGAACUGUCAAGCUAGAGUGCAGGAGAGGAAGGUAGAAUUCCCGGUGUAGCGGUGAAAUGCGUAGAGAUCGGGAGGAAUACCAGUGGCGGAGGCGGCCUUCUGGACUGACACUGACACUGAGGUGCGAAAGCGUGGGUAGCAAACAGGAUUAGAUACCCCAGUAGUC